GACAGAGGUGCCGAGCGUUAGGCGGAAUCACUGGGCUUAAAGCGUGUGUAGGCGGACCGUUAAGUACCUUGUGAAAUCCCCCGGCUCAACCGGGGAACGGCUGGGUAUACUGCGGGUCUUGAGCCACCUAGGGGCAAGUGGAACAAACGGUGGAGCGGUGAAAUGCGUAGAUAUCGUUUGGAACGCCAAUGGUGAAAACAACUUGCUGGGGGUGUGCUGACGCUGAGACACGAAAGCCAGGGGAGCAAACGGG
rnacentral:rRNA from 1 species